CACCAGGAUGACAACCCUGGGCGAUAAGGUUAAACAGCAGGACCAGGGCAUCUUCAGAACUUUCCAGUCUCUGCCGAGCAGUUUUGCAGGCAGAGAGAACAGUUCUAUUAAGUAGACAAAUGCAUGCACAUUGACUAGAGUUCUUAAACUGGUGACGAAGUUCACCGACAAGCUGAAAAGCCAUGUGCAAGAGAGAAUGGUUUCAAGGGGUGAAACCAGCCUUUUCUAGUGUCUUGGGAGAGGAACUGCAAGAAGGCCGAGGAAUGCUGCUAAAAGGCUGAGGAGAGGAUGAAGUAGGAAGAUGGCUAUGUUAGGAAUAAAGUCACCAGGGAGCGGCUGAAUAGAGGACCCAAGACUAUUCACCAGGAAGAAUGAAGGAGAGCGCUGAGUUGAGGAGCAACUUCCUUGUGUAAAAUAAGGAUGGAUAUCCCAUUGAGUACUUAUUCACCUACUGAUAUAUGUUUGAGUUGUGUCCAGUUUCUUGCGCAUCAUAAUAAAGCCGUGUGUAAACCCAUGGUUAUGCUGUGUCAAUACUUCCCAGAGCUGCAGAGUCAGAUAUCCGGGACGUAGCUGCCGGGCCUCUGAAGGUGUUGAUUGAAUGUUAUCACUCGGGGGAGCUGAGAGAGACCUGGAGAGGCUGGACACGCCAUUGUGUCAUUUCUACUCAUACAUGAUACGCUGCAUCUCCUCACCGUACUCUGUCCUGCAAAAAAUUGUUUUCUACACUAAGUAUAAAAAGAUAAUAGUGAGAUAAAAAGAUACUAAAUGCUUGUCCUAUUACAAAAUCUUGCUCAAUCCUUUUUAAAAACCCCAUUAAUAUUUUAUUCAUUUCUCUAUUUUCUUUUUCCCUUUUUUUGGUGUAUGGCAUAUGGGGUCGUGUGUGUGUGUGUGUGUGUGUGUGUGUGUAUGUGUGUGUGUGUGUGUGUGUGUUUUGUGUGUGUGUGUUGUGUAUGCACAUGCCUGUAGAGGUCAGAGGUUGAGCAUUAGAUAUGCUCCUCAAUUAAUAUCCAUCUUACUCUUUGAGCUAGGGUCUCUUGUUUAAUUUGGAGCUUGCUUAUCUAGACUGGCUGGCCCACAAGCCCAAGGAUUCUCCUGUCUCUGACUCCUUGUGCUAGGAUCACAGACACACAGAGCUAUGCCUGACUUUGUAUGUGGGUGGUACAAUAUAUGUUACUGACUGAGCUGUCUUUCCAGCCCACAUCUGUCCAUUACCUGUUCAACUAGACAGUAAGCUUCAUGAGGGUGAACACCUUGUUUCCUCAUAGCAUCUCUUCCCCUUAGAAUCAUGUUGAAGAAAGGGUUUCAAUGAAUUCUGCAUGAAUAAAUUGCAUCUGGAAAGCAGUGUAAGACUGGUGUCUAGAAGAACAUAAGAUAUUGUAUAACCUGAAGUGCAUCUAUACAACUUUAAACUGGUCUAUUCUGUCUCUUGUGUUUCAGUGAAGUCUUCCAGUGAUCUGACAAAAAAAACUCAGUCCCAAGUUAUGUUUUGGCUCAAGUUAGCAUAAACAAUUGUUAUCAAAAAAUGUCUUGUGGUGAUCAAUAGUAUCCCAUAGGUGAGCGCUGUUUGAGGCUAGAAGCUAAACAUCACUACCAAAAGCCACUUAGGGAAGAGAAGAAUUAUUUUAGUUUGUGAUUUCGGGUCAUAGUCCAGCCGUGAGGGGAUCCAGGGUAGGAAGUCAAGCAGAAACCAUGAAGGAACAUACUUCAGCUUCCCUCACGUCUUCAUUCUCAGAUAGCUUUCUUGUGCAGCAAAAGGCUACCUCCCCCAGGAUGAUCCCCCCAGCAGUGGGCUGAGCAUAGCUGGUCACAACGCCAGCCAUCAACAACCAAAUAAUUCCUCGCAGUCACGGCCGCAGGCCAGUCUGACCUGAU